rnacentral:rRNA from 1 species
UACGGAGGGUGCGAGCGUUGUUCGGAAUUACUGGGCGUAAAGCGCGCGCAGGCGGCUUGGAAAGUCGGGUGUGAAAACUCGGGGCUCAACCCCGGGCGUGCAUCCGAUACUGCCAGGCUUGAGGCAGGUAGGGGAGAUCGGAAUUCCUGGUGUAGCGGUGAAAUGCGCAGAUAUCAGGAGGAACACCGGUGGCGAAGGCGGGUCUCUGGGCAACAACUGACGCUGAGGAGCGAAAGCGUGGGGAGCGAACAGG